GACGAACGCUGACGGUGUGCUUAACACAUGCAAGUCGAACGGUAAGGCCCUUUCGGGGGUACACGAGUGGCGAACGGGUGAGUAACACGUGAGUAACCUGCACUCAUCUCUGGGAUAACAGUCGGAAACGGUUGCUAAUACUGGAUAUGAGCUUGCAAGGCAUCUUGUGGGUUGGAAAGAUUUUUUUUGGUUGGGGAUGGACUCGCGGCCUAUCAGCUUGUUGGUGGGGUAGUGGCUCACCAAGGCUUCGACGGGUAGCCGGCCUGAGAGGGCGACCGGCCACAUUGGGACGGAGAUACGGCCCAAAGUCCUACGGGAGGCAGCAGUGGGGAAUAUUGCACAAUGGACGGAAGUCUGAUGCAGCAACGCCGCGUGCGGGAUGACGGCCUUCGUGUUGUAAACCGCUUUCAAUUGUGACGAAGCUUUUUUGUGACGGUAGCAGUAGAAGAAGCACCGGCUAACUACGUG
rnacentral:rRNA from 1 species